ACAACUUAAAGAUUUAACAGUAAGAAAUCUGGGUAACGCAUUUCACGACCUGGGCAAACUGCAAAGUUUUCCAUGCAUCAAUUAAACAGAUUAUCUAUCAAGGCUAACACAUGCCCUUACAACAGUCCGGCAUGUUAACAAGACUGAUGUAGUCACCCUCGGUACCACAUUUGGGUCUCUUUGUAACAUUAUGGGUGCAUCUAUGGAAGAUCUAGCUCGUUGCCCUGGCAUAGGAGAGCGCAAGGUCAAGCGCUUGUUUGACACUUUUCAUGAACCCUUCAAGCAUGUGGAAUCCAGCCGGCAAGCCAUUCCAGAGACUUCUGUCCAGAACAAGCCAGCUAGUCCGUCCAGUCUCAUCGAUCAGGAACAAUGCUGAAUCUUCCUCCUUGAUUGAAGACAAGCAUGAGGAUGCAGAAGAUGUGAGCUAACGUAGGAAGAAAGAACUUGAAGUUACUGUCAAAUCUGCCCUUUCUGCAGCUUUUGCCAAAUAUUCUGGUAGAGUUGGAAAGAGGAAAAGCACUUCACAGGUGGAGAAAAAAGGAGAAUCAAUUAUUUCCAAAGAAUCAGAAGCUGAAACAUAAAAUUACCAUGAAGUUUUUCACUGGUUCAAUAAUUUACCCAUAAACAAGAUAAUCUCAUGAGAUUAAGAGGCUUCAUUUUUAAUCUCUAUGCAUGUAAAGCCAUGGAACUCUAUUGGGAGUGUAAAGGGGAACAUCUCUAACAAAUGAAGAGGUAGUUAGUUGUAAUAUGAUAGCUGAACUGUUAGGUAGUUAUGAGGCUUUAAUCAAAUGGGAAGGAAGAGAAAGGAGAGAGGUGGGGUCAUAUGGUUAUAACAACAAAUCGAGGGAAGAAUGGAUUUUCGGUUGUUGAGAAUUGAGAUAAGUUGGGAGGGAGAGUUAGUACCUUUGAAAUUCUUGAUUUGAGUGAUAUUCUUAUCUUUGUAAAUUCUGUCUACCUCGUUUUCUUGAUUCCGAAACCACAUUGGGAAUUUUUGUUUAAUGUUUCUAUUAGUUCUAACCUAUUUUCCAAGAGACAUUAUCUAUCAAGCUCCUCUUCUAGAAGCAGUCUCUGCCAAUUUUUUAAUUUUAUUUUGGAUCUUGCCCUACCUCCGCAUACAUUAUUGGGGAUUCUGGAGUAAUAUAAUAAUAACUACGUAACGUUUACUUAGCAAAAGAAUAUACUAAGUUGAGUUAUAACCCCACUUAGGAACUUAUGAUCUAUCUCCUAGGUAUUUUCUGCUCAUGUUUUGGAUAUUGCAUUUUUCCCCAUUAUAUCAGGAUGGGGCUAGAAAAGUGAUUUUCAUCAUUUCAUGAAAAUGAAGAAAUAUCCGACAGAUUGUUAUGAAGGACAUUCAGUUAUCCAAGUCUCUACGUUACAUCAUUCAGAGUUUUGGCUCUUUGUUGUUCGCGUUGGUAAUAUUAAUUUAUCUCGAUUCUGAUAUAAAGCUGCAAUUAGUUUGCUGAUCUUUUUAUCAUGAAAUAUCGGUUGAUAUGACGAGUAGGGUUUCCUGUUGUGCUUACAUGCUUUUUGGGGAAUCCCUUGCAUUCAGCCA